rnacentral:rRNA from 1 species
UACGUAGGGCGCGAGCGUUGUCCGGAUUUAUUGGGCGUAAAGAGCUCGUAGGCGGUGUGUCUCGUCGGCCGUGAAAACCUGCAGCUUAACUGUGGGCUUGCGGUCGAUACGGGCAUCACUGGAGUUCGGUAGGGGAGACUGGAAUUCCUGGUGUAGCGGUGAAAUGCGCAGAUAUCAGGAGGAACACCGGUGGCGAAGGCGGGUCUCUGGGCCGAAUGACUGACGCUGAGGAGCGAAAGCGUGGGGAGCGAACAG